AUCCCCUCUAGUGGGGACCCUCUCUCCCUAUUUUCUCUCACGCUGGUCCAGCAGUCUAGCUUCCUUCAACCACCAUCCCCAUCCUCAGAGCUUCAUCGACCCCCUUCUACUACUCAAGGUUUGCUUCCUUAUCCUCUCAUCCCCUUUGCGCAUCCCUCUUCUCCUCCAUGCCUCUCUUCUUAUCCUUCUCUCGCCCUCUGGCUCUCCCUCCUCUCCUCCGGCCAAGCCUCUGUAGUACUUCUCCUUCCUUCCUCUAGGCCUAAAACCUUAAACCAAUUUCUACCUAAAUCUUGACCGCUCCCUUAUCCCUCUUCACCAAUCUCUAUGAUUUGGAGCUCAUCCAUGGCUGUCGAGUCCAUCUCUCGCUUGAUCCACUCAAGAUCGAACCCUAACACUAAUACCCAAUUUCAACCUAAACCCUAUCUUGAUUUCUACCAUUCUACGACCUAUUUGUCUUUGAUUUCUUCCUGUCUUUAUAGUUUUAUGCACCCAUUGGUGGCAACAUGCUUGAUCUGCAAUGGAUCAAGCAUGUACUGGCAUCUGUGGACCUAUAUGCUUAAUCUAUCCCAGAUUAGGCGGUUAGAGAUAUCUAUGUUGGCUGCAUGCUUGAUCCUGAAAUGAUGAUGGUGUUCACUGGUGCUUAUGGAACCUAUGUCCAUCUUGGUAUGUAGUGGUAUCAUUGGGUGCAAUAGUGGUGUGAGUUUAUUUCUUACCCUUUAAAAUGAUGGUGCUAAUGGUUUAGGAUGGGAUCUUCUGCAAUGGAGACGGGUGUUUGUUGUUGCAUUGAUAAUAUGUUGCCAUGAUUGUUGUGUAGAUAAACUUUGUAGCUGUCUACCAGUCAUUACUGAUACAUACAUCAGAAUAUUAUUGCCAUGAUUACUGACUAUAUGCAUUAGCAUUGAUUACAUUAACUUGUGCAGUUACAAAAUUAUGAUUGACUUGUCUAAUGCUUCAUUCUUUCAUUAGUGUAUCUGUUCCUUUAGUGGUACCUAUGGUAGUGGCCACAAUUAUGGUCAUUGUGCUGAUAGUUGUCUUCCUUGUUAUCCUAUUUUAAAUAGAGUCCUUGCAUUAUGAUACCGUUAUCAUUUGUUAUUUUGUCUAUCUGGCAGGUUAAUGUGACUUCCAUGGGUAUUCUACUGAUUAUGGCACACAUGUUAUGCCACUUGACUCUAAUUUUGCCAUGGAUGAUUCCUUGGCAAUUCUGUCCUAUAUACAAAUAACUUACCUUACUUUCUCGUAUUUAUUGCUGCUAUUAAUUUUGAUGUUGAGUUAUAUGUGGAUGGUUGAUUAGCAUAGGUGUUUUUGAGCCAUUUACUGAUCAUUUUGUUGUAGAGCUAUAUGUGACUGGUUGACCAUCGCAAGUAUUGUUGAGCUAUAUAAUUUUGUUGUUGAGCUAUUUCUCUCUUUUGGAACAUGUGAAUUGUAAUAUUGCAAUUUUGUUCUCCCAUGUAUCUUUUUCAAUUUCUCUCUUAGCCAUUUUUUCUUGCAACAACCCAUGCAUCUUCUUAAUUUUCCUAUAGCUCAUUUUCGUUUUCUUUUUAUUUUCAG
rnacentral:lncRNA from 1 species